rnacentral:misc_RNA from 1 species
GAGCAAUAUCUUGGAUUGGAUCACUCCGACACCAGUCCAAAACGAGCCUAUGUUUCAAACCAGAACCGUCACACUUACGAGAAGCCUGUUAAAAUAUACAACUAGUAUAGAGGAUUCUCCCCUCAUGGCAUUCACCUCCCGUGGCACUGAUUCAUAUCUGGCGAACUUUUAGUCCCCCAUGCAGUUAGCGUUAGCUUCACCGCAUUUGUUCCUAUUGUU